GGCGCUGUGGUUUAGUUGGUCAAAGUGCCUGUCUAGUAAACAGGAGGUCUUGGGUUCAUAUCCCAGCAGGGCCU